rnacentral:rRNA from 1 species
AAUCCAUAGGUUAAUGAGGCGAACCGGGGGAACUGAAACAUCUAAGUACCCCGAGGAAAAGAAAUCAACCGAGAUUCCCCCAGUAGCGGCGAGCGAACGGGGAGGAGCCCAGAGCCUGAAUCAGCAUGUGUGUUAGUGGAAGCGUCUGGAAAGGCGCGCGAUACAGGGUGACAGCCCCGUACACAAAAGCGCAUGUGCUGUGAGCUCGAUGAGUAGGGCGGGACACGUGGUAUCCUGUCUGAAUAUGGGGGGACCAUCCUCCAAGGCUAAAUACUCCUGACUGACCGAUAGUGAACCAGUACCGUGAGGGAAAGGCGAAAAGAACCCCGGCGAGGGGAGUGAAAAAGAACCUGAAACCGUGUACGUACAAGCAGUGGGAGCACAGGUUUACCUGUGUGACUGCGUACCUUUUGUAUAAUGGGUCAGCGACUUAUAUUCUGUAGCAAGGUUAACCGAAUAGGGGAGCCGGAGGGAAACCGAGUCUUAAUUGGGCGUUAAGUUGCAGGGUAUAGACCCGAAACCCGGUGAUCUAGCCAUGGGCAGGUUGAAGGUUGGGUAACACUAACUGGAGGACCGAACCGACUAAUGUUGAAAAAUUAGCGGAUGACCUGUGGCUGGGGGUGAAAGGCCAAUCAAACCGGGAGAUAGCUGGUUCUCCCCGAAAGCUAUUUAGGUAGCGCCUCGUGAAUUCAUCUCCGGGGGUAGAGCACUGUUUCGGCUAGGGGGCCAUCCCGGCUUACCAACCCGAUGCAAACUGCGAAUACCGGAGAAUGUUAUCACGGGAGACACACGGCGGGUGCUAACGUCCGUCGUGAAGAGGGAAACAACCCAGACCGCCAGCUAAGGUCCCAAAGUCAUGGUUAAGUGGGAAACGAUGUGGGAAGGCCCAGACAGCCAGGAUGUUGGCUUAGAAGCAGCCAUCAUUUAAAGAAAGCGUAAUAGCUCACUGGUCGAGUCGGCCUGCGCGGAAGAUGUAACGGGGCUAAACCAUGCACCGAAGCUGCGGCAGCGACACUGUGUGUUGUUGGGUAGGGGAGCGUUCUGUAAGCCUGCGAAGGUGU